rnacentral:rRNA from 1 species
CUAACCUGCCCACUGAUUUAUUAAAGGGCCGCGGUAUAUUGACUGUGCAAAGGUAGCAUAAUCAUUUGUCUUUUAAUUGAAGGCUGGAAUGAAUGGUUGAAUGAAGUAUAAGCUGUCUCAUUUAAAAAAAUAUAAAAAUUUAGCUUUUAAGUUAAAAGGCUUAAAUAAAAUUAAAGGACGAGAAGACCCUAUAGAUCUUUAUAUUUAAAUUAAAUUAGUAAAUUUUAGAUUAAAAAAUUUUUAAUUAAUGAAAAUAUUUGGUUGGGGUGACUGGAAAAUUUAAUAAACUAUUUUUAUUUAAAUUCAUUAAUGUAUGAUUUAUUGAUCCAAUAAUAUUGAUUAAAAAAUUAAGUUACCUUAGGGAUAACAGCGUAAUUUUUUUAGAGAGUUCUUAUCGAUAAAAUAGAUUGCGACCUCGAUGUUGAAUUAAAGAU